GCCGGGGUGCCCGAGUGGACAAGGGGCGGGCCUUGAGAGCCCGUGGGCCGGAAGGCCCGCGUGGGUUCGAAUCCCACCCCCGGCGCCA
rnacentral:tRNA from 1 species